rnacentral:rRNA from 1 species
UACAGAGGUGGCAAGCGUUGUUCGGAAUUACUGGGCGUAAAGGGCGCGUAGGCGGCCUUCUAAGUCAGACGUGAAAUCCCCCGGCUUAACCUGGGAACUGCGUCUGAUACUGGGAGGCUUGAGUAUGGGAGAGGGGUGUAGAAUUCCAGGUGUAGCGGUGAAAUGCGUAGAUAUCUGGAGGAAUACCGGUGGCGAAGGCGGCAUCCUGGACCAUAACUGACGCUGAGGCGCGAAAGCUAGGGGAGCAAACGGG